rnacentral:rRNA from 1 species
GUCCACGCCAUAAACGAUGGAUACUUGUUGUUAGAGGUAUUGACCCCUCUAGUGACGUAGCUAACGCGUUAAGUAUCCCGCCUGGGGAGUACGGGUCGCAAGAUUAAAACUCAAAAGAAAUUGACGGGGGCCCGCACAAGGCGGUGGAGCAUGUGGUUUAAUUCGAUGCAACGCGAAGAACCUUACCCGGGCUUGACAUGAACUGGAAGAGUGGCAGAGAUGUCCUCGCUCGCAAGAGUCGGUUCACAGGUGCUGCAUGGCUGUCGU